UCUAAGAGGAAUUACAAAUACAUUCCUGAGCACUGAGCUGGGCUUUUGACUACCUCAUUGAGCUUUCACUUCAGCCUGACUCAGGAGAACUGAAACAUCCUACCACAGGGAUUCACAAGGACUGCUGGGGAGCCCUGCCAAAUUCUGGCCGAUUUAUCCCGAGAACAAUCUUUUGGUGAAGGCCCUAGAGUAUCUGCUUAUGUCCUGACAACAUGGGGAUUCUCUGGGACAAGGCAAGAGGACCCAAGCUGUGUUCAAAUGAGACCCAGAGAUCCCAGUGCAAAGGGACACCUUUGGUAAAACUGGCCACUUUGGGUCAUAUAGAUCCCAAAAGAAAUCAUGCCUGACUUCCUAAAAUCAAAACCAUAGGGAUUUAUCAAGAAGAAACCCUGUUUAAUUGGCCUAUAGAUGAGGAUGCAACCUAAGGCAUGACUGUUGCUGAAUGAGCCCAAGUGAUGGGCCAAAAAGGUGAACCAGUCCAAACAUGGCAGGACCAAGAAGGAACAAGCAGUGGUUUUUGCUAGGCCUUUUGAAGACAGCAGGAAUCUGGGAGAAGGAACAUCAUCGUCUUUCACAGCAUGGAAACAUCAAUCUUAUUCCAGAGAAGGGAAGAAGUCCCCAAAGAUGGAUUAAUGCACACAGAUGCCGUGUUUUUAUGAUGAUGAGGCAACUAAGGUGAAAGGCCAAGCAGUUCUUCCAAAGGAUUCUUUCCAAAUUUGGGAAAUUGGCUCAGGGAAAGCCUGCCUGCACAGAGUUCUGGAAAGCCAGUCCUAUGAUGGGGCUACCUUCUGCGGGUGGGUGGAGGCAGGGGGCAGAGAGGAAAGAAGAUUCAACCUGAAAAAUCUCAAAACAGAAGAAAAACAAAGUUUAUGAAACACACACUAUAUACUGGACACUGUGGUAGACACCUAUGCAUUCUAUCUUACUUGAUUUUCACAACAAACACACGAGGUAAGUAUUCGCAGUCCCAUUUUUCAGAUUGAGAAACUAAGGCUCAGACCAAUUAAGUGAUUUGACUCUGGUUAGGCAGCUAGUAAGUG
rnacentral:lncRNA from 1 species